CUACGGGGUGCACCAGUAGGGAAUAUUGCUCAAUGGGCGAAAGCCUGAAGCAGCAACGCCGCGUGCGCGAUGAAGGUCUUCGGAUCGUAAAGCGCUUUUCUGCGAGAUGAGAAAGGACAGUAUCGUAGGAAUAAGUCUCGGCUAACUACGUGCCAGCAGCCGCGGUAACACGUAGGAGGCGAGCGUUAUCCGGAUUCACUGGGCGUAAAGCGCGUGCAGGCGGUUCGGUAAGUUGGGCGUGAAAUCUCCCGGCUCAACUGGGAGAGGUCGUCCAAUACUACCGGGCUAGAGAGCAGAAGAGGAAGAUGGAAUUCCCGGUGUAGUGGUGAAAUGCGUAGAUAUCGGGAGGAACACCAGUGGCGAAGGCGAUCUUCUGGUCUGUUUCUGACGCUCAGACGCGACAGCUAGGGUAGUAAACGGGAUUAGAUACCCGGGUAGUC
rnacentral:rRNA from 1 species